CCUACGGGAGGCAGCAGUGGGGAAUAUUGCACAAUGGGGGGAACCCUGAUCCAGCGACGCCGCGUGAGUGAAGAAGUAUUUCGGUAUGUAAAGCUCUAUCAGCAGGGAAGAAAGAAAUGACGGUACCGGACUAAGAAGCACCGGCUAACUACGUGCCAGCAGCCGCGGUAAUACGUAGGGGGCAAGCGUUAUCCGGAUUUACUGGGUGUAAAGGGAGCGUAGACGGCGAUGCAAGUCUGAAGUGAAAGGCGGGGGCCCAACCCCCGGACUGCUUUGGAAACUGUCUGGCUGGAGUGCAGGAGAGGUAAGUGGACUUCCUAGUGUAGCGGUGAAAUGCGUCGCUAUUAGGAGGAACACCAGUGGCGAAGGCGGCUUACUGGACUGUAACUGACGUUGCGGCUCGCAAGCGUGGGGAGCAAACAGGAUUAGAUACCCCUGUAGUC
rnacentral:rRNA from 1 species